CACACACACACACACCUGUUUUCUGUCUUAUUAAAACAGGGUCUCACGUAGUCCAGGUUGAUCUCAAACUUGCUGUGUCCCAAGGAUGACUUUGAACUCCUGGUCCUCCUGCCUCUGUCUCCUAAGUGCUGGGACUGGAGGUGUGUGCCACCAUCCCUAUCAACAACAGAAGAGUGUCCCUUGCCUUCAGACACUGUCAGAUGCUGAAGUCUGCAUUUGCCAUUGGGAAGCCUCGGUGCAGAUUCAGUUGAAGAUAACCAUUCCAUCCACACAAGUCAUCUGCCAGGUCUCCCCAGACUUCCUAUAGGACUUAAGAAACUGUUAACACGGGGCUGGAGAGAUGGCUCAGUGAAGAACGGUGCUUGCUGCCAAACCUGAUGACCUGAGUUCUAUCCCCCAGCACCCAUGGGGGAUAGAGAGAACUUACCGCCACAUGUCUGCUGUGGCAUGUGUUCAUAUGCACAUACACACAUCAUAAUAAUAAUGAAGAAA
rnacentral:lncRNA from 1 species